CCAUAAACAUACAGUCCAACAUAGAGAGGCUGAGUGAAUGUGGUCUGGACUCUGUGGAGGAGAGUCAUGGUUUCAGAGACACUGUAGAAGGACAGAAGACCUGCUCUGUGAUCCAGGUACACUCCUAUUCUGGAGGAUGGAGGACCUGAGACUGGAGUGAACAUAUUGUUGGAUGUAAUGGAAAAAUUUUACCUUAGUGCUGUUUCUUAUCCAACACACUCGUCAUGUGCUGGUUAGGUACAAUACUGAACGGAACAUUCUUACACAAACAACUUAUCUCUUGUGCCCUGACGUACAUCAAGUCUAAACAUCUGAUGUUCCAUUUGACUGACUAAUAAUUUAUGAUAUAUGUUUGUCUUUUACACCCGGACUCUGGCUCCAUCCUAUCUGACUCCCCACCAGACCCAAGGCUGUUAAAGCGAAUGCAUCUUGUCUUGGAAGCUCGGUGUUCCUUCCUUUGGAUAACAAGACAUGAUGAUGCAGAAGUGAGAAAGCAAACAUUCUCACUCACAGCGAGAUAAGGUGGCACAAACAAUUCCAUUGCUGCAGAGAGACAUUCCACCAGAGCCAGAGAAAGGGGUUAAAAGGCAGAGACAACUUGAGGAUCGUGGGCUCUUUGCAUCACACCUUCGUGGUGUGUGCACUGAUCUCCCCAGCUGGUUUUUGGUUUGUUGAUGUGCACGAUCAACAUCCAUGCUUUUUAUUUGCUUUCCCCAUUAUUUUUAUUUUCUUUAUUAUUUCAAUAAAUCGCACAAAAGGACAACUCUCUCUCAUCUACUUCUUUAUGGAAAAUUUCCAACACAGAAAUUGACGUCUACGAACAGGAUCCGCUGCAGGUCACCUGGACGGUGUGACCAGGGACGAUAGUCCUGAGGACUAGGGUCGCUCAGCUUCCAAACCUCUACAGACAUUCAGAGCUGGGAGGACUGCUCACCCGUCUGGAUCGCCUCUGACGAGAUCCAACGAACACAAAAUGCAACCUCUACUCGGCCCGAACUGAGCGCGAUGAGGGUAAAUCCGGAUCUGGACUCCUUUCCCACCAUCAGCAGAAGAACCGAGGGGGGAAGCGCCUGACCAACAACCAGAACAGGGUGGAAGCUCUGACACCACAGCAGCUGGAGGACACAGACCACAGCAUGGACGCCUCAGCGACUCCCACAACGUCUGCAGCCAUCACGUUCUGGGCUCAUCAGAUGAACCAGCUACUACAAGCGUGUGUGUCUGACAGACACCUGCUUAUGACAAUCAGCAAAGGAAAACAAGGACAGAGCAACAGCAGAGAAGACGUGCUCUGACACAGACACUGGUUGAAACAACAGGAGAGGCUUCAGACGUGAUCGGCCCAAUAGAGCUGCAUCUGAGGAUCCAGGAAAGGUCUGUCAUCGAAGAACAACUGUCCCAUCGAAAGGCUUCACCCGCUGGCGCUCACAUCAGACUGAUGGUUGGGGAAGGAGGAAGGUGACGGUUCCUUUUCACGUGACGUACAAGACGGUACCGCAAACACACACACACACAUUCAUACACGCAAUGAAGAAACACGCUUACAGCUGAUACACGCUCAAA